UGGGGAAUUUUCCGCAAUAGGGCGAAAGCCUGACGGAGCAAUGCCGCGUGGAGGUGGAAGGCCUACGGGUCGUCAACUUCUUUUCUCGGAGAAGAAACAAUGACGGUAUCUGAGGAAUAAGCAUCGGCUAACUCUGCGCCAG
rnacentral:rRNA from 1 species